rnacentral:rRNA from 1 species
UCUGGUGAUCCUGCCGGCGGCCACCGCUAUUGGAAUUCGAUUAAGACAUGUUGAGAUGUACCUAGCAGGCUCGGCGGACGCUCGAUAUUGGAAGGAAUGCCCUUGGGUGGGGGAUAACCUCGGGAAACUGAGAAUAUUACCUUGAGGGAUGGUAGAAAGCUGGAAUGCUUUUAGAUCGAAAACUCCGGUGCCCAAGGAUUGGUCUGCGGCGUAUCAGGUUGUAGUGGGUGUAACGGACCCCCUAGCCUAUGACGCGUAAGGGCCUUGAGAGAGGGAGCCCUGAGAUGGACUCUGAGACAUGAGUCCAGGCCCUACGGGGCGCAGCAGUCGCGAAAACUUCACAAUGGGGGAAACCCCGAUGAGUUUAUUCCAAGUGCCAGCACAUUGUGUUGGCUGUUCUCUGGUCUAAAAAACCGGAGAAGUAAGGGCCGGGUAAGACGGGUGCCAGCCGCCGCGGUAAUACCCGCGGCCCGAGUGGUGGUCGAUAUUAUUGAGCCUAAAACGUCCGUAGCCGGUCUUGUAAAUCCUUGGGUAAAUCGACCAGCUCAACUGUUCGAAGUCCGGGGAGACUGCAAGACUUGGGAUCGGGAGAGGUGAGAGGUACUUCUGGGGUAGGGGUAAAAUCCUGUAAUCCUUAGAAGGACCACCGGUGGCGAAGGCGUCUCACUAGAACGAAUCCGACGUGAGGGACGAAGCCCUGGGGCGCAAACGGGAUUAGAUACCCCG